rnacentral:rRNA from 1 species
AUACGGAGGGUCCGAGCGUUAAUCGGAAUUACUGGGCGUAAAGCGCGCGUAGGCGGCUAUAUAAGUCAGAUGUGAAAUCCCUGGGCUCAACCUAGGAACUGCAUUUGAAGCUGUAUGGCUAGAGUAUGGUAGAGGUGAGUGGAAUUUCAGGUGUAGCGGUGAAAUGCGUAGAGAUCUGAAGGAACAUCAGUGGCGAAGGCGACUCACUGGGCCAUUACUGACGCUGAGGUGCGAAAGCGUGGGUAGCAAACAGGAGUAGAAACCCUAGUAGUCC